CCUCCCACCUCAAGCCGCUCCUCCUCGCCUUCGUCGACGACCACCUGCUCCCGCCGCUCCCGCCGCUCGCGCCUGCACGCCACCUCCCGCUCCUCAUUGCCUCGCACCUCGCCUUCCCUGCCGACCACCCGCUCCACGACCACCUCGUCGCCACCGCCGCCUCCGCCCUCGCCUCCGCGUUCGUCGCGCAGCUCUCCGACCACCGACAAGAUCGAGCCAUACCUCUCCCUCUCUCCCAUGGCGCCAGAUCGAGCCGAUGAGGUCAGUCCACGACCAGAUCCGCCACGGCCACAGCGGGCCUUCCGGAUCCGUGUCGUCGUCGAGCUGGGUCCGCGCCUCGUCGUGCGGCCUCGUCUGCCCCCGCAGCUCGCCCUCGCGUCUCAACUCUCCGCACUCGACUUCGACUCCCUCCUCGACUCCGGGCCCGACGGGGCCCCGGUGCUCUUCAUCGCGUUCUACAAGCUACCGCCGCCCGCGGGUGGCGCGACCCUGUUCCUCCGGAUCGACACGGCCGCGUGCGACCGCGCGGCGUCUGCGGCGCUGCUGAAGGAGCUACUGGCGCAUCUGAGGUUUACGGAGGCCUGGGGGGUGGCCAAUCGGCUUGACCUCGUCAGGCCCAUCAUCGAGUAGCCCGAGUACAACCUCUUCUCCCGCCACAAGGGAGCUCCUCGACCUAAUGCGGUCGGGGAAGCUGGAGCCGGAAGCUGCAUUCCUUAAUGCAUUGCUGGUGCCGGGCGUGUUUCCAGUUCUCGCGGCGGCGCACAAGGCGCUGCUCUUCAAGUCGAGGGAGUCGCUGACCAUGAGGACCCUGCACUCGGAGCUCGUCUACAACUACUCUAGCUUGAAGCAUGUGGGUGUUUAGUCAUGGUUUUGAACCUGUCUGUCAGUUUCUUGCUGAUAACCCUGCUUGAAUUGACUUUGAAUCUCGCUGAACCUGUUAGUUUUUUUCUAAUUGCAUGAAUUUGAGUACCACAAGUCUGUGAAUAUAUACUGCAAACACCAGAGUUUCUUGCCCACCCUUCCUUUUCUCUAUCAUUCUUCUUUGAUGCUCCAUUCAUUCCUUCCUCUGCAAGCAACCUCCCUUUCUCAUUAUUCCCUGUAUUUUUUUGGUUCGCUAUAGUUCAGUAGGAUUUUUUAUCCCCUGGUGGUGUGAGGUAGAGUUUAAUGAUCUCCUAAAUUUUUGGCGGAAAAAGCCUGCACAUGGUAUUGUUCUUUUCCUGCUUUCACUUUGGAUAAAUGUCCUUUCUGCUCUUCUUUCCUUGGCUGAUGCUAUAGUUUAUUCUCUACUGAGUUUGUGUUGCAUGCUCAGCUUUGUGAUUGGCACCUACGGGGCAAUUGUUUUUGGAGAUUUGUGCAGUUCUGCUGUUUCUAGUUCAUCAUUUACUAUGUGCCGCUUUGUUCAUCAACUCAACUCAUAUGUUCAGUUCAAAGCGGCUUUAAUAAUCAAGAAACUAAUUCAUCACUAGGAGGAUUAGCCAUUGCAUGCUAAGGAUACUUAACAAUCUGAGGGUAUUUGUUUUGCAAGUAACUGGCUGGUGUUAGACUGUGAUUGGUUCUUGUUGAUGUCAUCCUUCUCUGCCUGUGGGAUCAUAGAACAUCCUCUGAUGUUUAGUUUGUUGCCGUAAUGGCAACGACAUCACCGAACGAUGCCAAGCGCAAGUACUCAUGGUGGUGGGACAGUCAUAUCUGCCCAAAGAACCCCAAAUGGCUUCAGGAGAAUCUCAAAGGUGACCAUUUGUGCUGCCGCCGCCAUCGUGCCGGUUGGAGGUGCUGCUGCUGCAUCUGGCGGAGCCGCAGCUACCGCCCCAAAGGGCAACCUUCAUCAAACACAACCCCAUGACAAGGCCUCAAGGUGAAUGGAGCUUGUGUUGUUGAUAGAACACCGUUGAUGACUUCUUCCUAUGUUGAAGAGCAUGUUCUGUGGUAUCCAAGAGUAGCUAGCUUUAACUUGGUAGAGCGUUUUAUUUUUCAAUCGCAAUAUUUGUGAUUGUGUGGAAUAUUGUAUGGUUAUGUACGUGAAGUUUUAAGUUCCUGGGCAUGCAAUAUUUGUAGGUUAAACUGGUUGUUGUGAUGUGAACAAGUGUAUGGAGUUUCACAUGUUCUGUUCUAUACAGAAUAUAUUGUAAUAAACCUAUUUUGGUUGUUAUUUGAAGAUCUUCA